rnacentral:rRNA from 1 species
UACGUAGGUGGCAAGCGUUGUCCGGAUUUACUGGGCGUAAAGAGCGCGCAGGCGGUCGUUCAAGUCGCGUGUGAAAGCCCCCGGCUCAACUGGGGAGGGUCACGCGAUACUGAUCGACUCGAAGGCAGGAGAGGGUAGUGGAAUUCCCGGUGUAGUGGUGAAAUGCGUAGAUAUCGGGAGGAACACCAGUGGCGAAGGCGGCUCUCUGGAACGCAACUGACGCUGAGACGCGAAAGCGUGGGGAGCAAACAGG